AAGGAUCAUUACAGAAUGAAAAGUGCUUAACUGCAUUUUUUCUUACACAUGUGUUUUUCUUUUUUUGAAAACUUUGCUUUGGUAGGCCUUCUAUAUGGGGCCUGCCAGAGAUUAAACUCAACCAAAUUUUAUUUAAUGUCAACCGAUUAUUUAAUAGUCAAAACUUUCAACAACGGAUCUCUUGGUUCUCGCAUCGAUGAAGAACGCAGCGAAAUGCGAUAAGUAAUAUGAAUUGCAGAUAUUCGUGAAUCAUCGAAUCUUUGAACGCACAUUGCGCCCUUUGGUAUUCCAAAGGGCAUGCCUGUUUGAGCGUCAUUUCUCCCUCAAACCCUCGGGUUUGGUGUUGAGCGAUACGCUGGGUUUGCUUGAAAGAAAGGCGGAGUAUAAACUAAUGGAUAGGUUUUUUCCACUCAUUGGUACAAACUCCAAAACUUCUUCCAAAUUCGACCUCAAAUCAGGUAGGACUACCCGCUGAACUUAAGCA
rnacentral:rRNA from 1 species